GAAAUUAUUAUUAGUAAGUGAGGCGUCCUUAUGAAAAUGUCUAAACCAGCAUAUAUCGUUUUGCUUGUUGUCGGCUUGGUUUUUGUUUUUUUAGGACUAUCUAACAUUGGGAUUUCGAUUUUCUGGGAUUUUAGUGAUUUAGAAAACUUGAUGGUUGGCUUAUUGUUAAUCAUUAUUGGGACAAUUACACUUAGAAUCCGCUAUUCGUUUAAAAAAAGAGGAUAGAAAAGCACUGCAGUCAACUUUUGCAGUGCUUUUCUA
rnacentral:sRNA from 11 species